UACGGGGGGGGCAAGCGUUGUUCGGAAUUACUGGGCGUAAAGGGCUCGUAGGCGGUCUGUUGCGUCGGGAGUGAAAACUUACAGCUUAACUGUGAGCGUGCUUCCGAUACGGGCGGACUUGAGGUAUUCAGGGGAGAACGGAAUUCCUGGUGUAGCGGUGAAAUGCGCAGAUAUCAGGAGGAACACCGGUGGCGAAGGCGGUUCUCUGGGAAUAUCCUGACGCUGAGGAGCGAAAGUGUGGGGAGCGAACAGG
rnacentral:rRNA from 1 species